rnacentral:lncRNA from 1 species
GUGGCUGUUUCAUAACGGACUUGGCACAGCAGUGCCCUCUUAGAGACAAAGGUGGACCAUUGCGCCGCCGUGUGGUAUUGAGGGGUAUGGCGCCUUCUUCCUUUUAUAAUUACGCUUUUUCUAGUUAAGAACUAGAAUAACCUUCGCGGUCGCUGGGUGGAGCCCUUUCAAUUUGUUGUGUGGGCUAACUAAGUGUGGAAACUAAGACUCAGGCAAGUGAUGUUACUGGGGCUUGAACCCAAAUCUUCACCCUUUGUGCUCCCAGCUUUUCAAGUUAACUCAGGGAUGUCUGCACAUAGCUGGAGGGAAACGGAGCUGUCUUAUGCAAAACUCAAUUUCACAUUCAAAGAAACUGAAGUGUAGAGAGGAUAAGUGACUUGCUAAAAGGUCUGCGCUAAUUUGGGGUCCUUCGUUUUUUAUUCUACUCAUUCGUUUAUUCACCAAAUAUUUAUACACGUGUCUACUACAUGUCAGGCACCAUUCAAGGCACUAGAGAUAAAAUAGUGAACACAGCAAACAAAAAUCCCUUCCUGCAAAAAUCCCUUCAUCUCUUCCCUUCAUAAAGCUCAUGUUCUAAUGGGGGAAACAAAGUAAGCAACUAAAAUAUAUAAUACCAGAUUAGAGAGGGGUAAAUGCAAAGAAGAAAUAAAAGGGAAGGGGGAUACGAAAUGUUAGGAGGGGCUACUUUUCUGAGUGGCCAGAGAAAACCUCCUUGAUAAGGUGACUGGUGACUUUUUUUUUUUUUUUUUUGAGAUAGAGUCUCACUCUGUGGCCCAGGCUGCAGUGCAAUGUCAUGAUCUCAGCUCACUGCAACCUCUGCCUGCCAGUUCAAGUGAUUUUCCUUCCUCAGCCACCACGUAGCUGAGACUACAGGCACAUGCCACCAUGCCCAGCUAAUUUUUGUAUUUUUAGUAGAGACAGGGUUUCACCUUGUUGGCCAGGCUGGUCCUGAACUCCUGACCUCAGGUGAUCCACCUGCCUUGGUCUCCCAAAGUGCUGGGAUUACAGGUGUGAGCCAUGGCACCCGGCCAACAAGGUGACUUUUGAGUAAAAACACCUGAAAGAAUUUAGGAAACCAGUCAUACAGAUACAGGGGAAGAGCAUUCAGGCAAACUGCAUGGUAGUGCAAAGGCCCUAAGACAGGAAAAUGCCUGUGUAUUCAUGAAAAGAUAGCAAACUCAAGGGUAGUAAGAGCUAUAAGAGGUAGGGUGGCCUGUUCACAUGGGGUCCUUCAGGUCAAAGGAGGACUUUGGUUUUACUUUAAAUGAGACAGGCUAUUGAAGAGGUUUGUUUUUGUUUUUGUUUUUGUUUUUUUCUGAGACAAGGUCUCACUCUGUUGCCCAGGCUGGAGUGCAAUGGCGUGAUCUCAGCCCAUUACAGCCUCAACCUGCCGGGCUCAAGCGGUUCUCCCACCUUAGCCUCCUGAGUAGCUGGGACUACAGGCAUGCGCCAUCACACCCAGCUAAUUUUUGUUGUUGUCGUUGUUUUGCUUUGUUUUGUUUUUUGUAGAGACAAGGUCCCACUAUGUUGCCCAGACUGUCUCGAACCCCUGGGCUCAAGCAAUUCUCCUGCUGUGGCCUCCCAAAGUACUGGGAUUACAGACGUGAGCUACCAUGCCCUGCCACACCGAUGAUUUCAAUGAGCAGAGGAGUGGUGUGGUCUGCCUUUUCAACAAGAUCACUCUGGCUACUGGGUUUGCAACAGGCUUCAGAAAGCAAGUGCGGGGACUGUGAGAGGAAGGGACUAUUCAGUAAGCCUGUCAAGGGAUAACAGCAAAUUAGAAAAGGGAGGUGACAAUGGGUAUGGUCAAAAGUGGCCAGAAUUUAGAAAUACAUUUUGAGGGUAGACCAACCAGGUUUGCUGAUGAAUCAGAAAGGGAAUAAAAGAAAGAGAGGAGUCAAGGAUGACAUCAAGGUUUUUGGUUUGAGCAACUGGAAGGCUGGCGUUGCCAUUAACGGAGAAUGUGGGAAAAGCUGGUUUGGGGGCAAAUCUCACCAGUUUAAUGUUAGACAUGAUAAGUUUGAGAUCACUGUUCUAUACCCAAGUGGAGAUGUCAAGUGGGCAGUUGAUUACAUCAUCUGGAGUUCAUUCAAGAACUGUUAAAUGACAACAGUCUAGUCCCUGAGAACCUUAACUCUAUAAAAUGACUAAGGGCGCAAUAAUGAUUAGAAAACAUUCAGACUCAAAUAAUAAAAUACUUUCUCCUUUAACGUGGUUUUCCAGAUUUCUACUCAAGGAGACCUUUUAAGUGGCUAUUCCUUUCCUAGUUGAAGGCUGUGAAUCUUUUGCUCACAGACAUGAGACAUGAGUCUCCUGACACUGAUGAGACCUUUAAGACAGUUGCCUGUUCUCUGGGUUACUGGAUGGAGCCCUUUGUGAAGUCAGUGGGAGCCCCAGAGAGAAGCCUGCUUGGCCGGUGGAACAUCAGGGAAACUCUCUUGUGCUUUGUGUUUUAUGAAAAGUAGGGGAGAUUCCAACCUGAAGCCUUCCCAUCUUUGCUUCCUGGGGUUUUGUUGAUACCCAGGUCAGGUGCAAUUGCUUGCAGCUUCAUGAUGUCUCUUCGUUAUCUUAUAGUCUGCCCUCUUCCCCAGCUCUGUACAUGAUGGAAUUGCCAUUCUUUUGCAUGGGUACACUCCUUCCUGGGAUGUGGGCAAGGGAUGGCAGAGUGACUGACAGCUUAUUGAGUACUAGGCAGUAGGUUGGGCACUGAUAGACAUACCCUCCAUUAGUAUACGAAGACGAAGCCACCGACCUACCAACUGUACCACUCACUGUAAUCACAGCCAACAUUUAUAUACUAUUUUAGAGUUCAGAAAACACUUUUACAGACAGGUGCCAGUAUACUGACUAAGAGUACAUACAGACUCUGAGGCCAGGCACAGUGACCCAUGCCUAUAAUCCCAAUGCUUUGGGAGGCAAAACCGGAGGAUCACUUGAGGACAGAAGUUCAAGACCAACCUGGGCCACAAAGUGAGUCCCUCCCUGUCUCUACAAAAAAUUAAAAACUUUGCCAGAUAUAGUGGUGCACACCUGUGGUCCCAGCUACCAGGAAUUCAAGGUUACAGUGAGCUAUGGCACCACUGCGCCACUGCACUUCAGCCUGGGAGAGGGAGUAAGACCUUGUCUAUUAAAAAAAAAAUACAGACUCUGGAACCAGGUUGCCUGAGUUGAAUCUCAGUUCUGUCCAGUUCUGCCAUGACUCACUGUGUGGUCUAGGACAAUUUACUUAGCCUCUCUGUUAAGUCUUGGUUUCUUCAAGUGCAAAAUGGAGAUUUUAAAUAAUCCUAACUACCUCCUAAACUAGCUUAGAGAUUAACUGAGAUAAUACGGAGGCAGCCCUAAGAGCAGUGCCUAGAACAUAGUGAGCCCUCAAUAAAGGCAGAAGGGAUCGUACUACCUGGUUGGGACUUUUUAGCCAAUUUUACUAAUAAGGAAACGGAAGCCCAGGGAGUUUAUUCAGUGUGGCUAAGUACUAAGGAACAGUACUAAGGAACAGAAGCCCAAGACCCAAUCAGGGGUUCCUGCUUCUGACUCCAAAGCUUUUCCCACUCAGAAUCCACUUCCUUAGGGAGUGUGGGUUUUAUGUUAAAACAAGCCAAACUUUCGCACCGGCUCUUCUGGUGUCUCCUAGCUUUGCUUCUGAGAAAGGACAGCUGAGGUUGGAGGGAAUAACAGCAAAAAUAAUUGACAUUCUUGGGUCCAUCGGUCGGUGUGCCGGGCCUGUGCCAAGGACUUCACCUGCCCUUCCCAUUCAAUAUUCACCAAAAAACCUAUGUGCUAGGUACUUUGAAUAACCACUUUAUAUAAAAAGUGGGGUGCAGAGCCACUAAGCAAGCAGGGGUGGCGUGUGUCGGAGCCAGAAUCCAUUAUCGGCUCUCUGAUCAGUUUACCCCCAGGAGGACCUUUCCCCGACCCCCUACCCCGCCGGGAGCAGCCUAUCUUCGUGCAAAAUGCACCGAGCUACAUACAGAGGCUGCCUUCCAGGACUCAGCGCGGAGGGUUAGGCUGCCUCGAACCCCAUUCUGACGGGGACCGGGCGGGCUCUCGGUCGGCGCCACCGCGCCCCCGCAUCAGGAUCCUCGGCGCUGACGUUCUCUCCCCAGGGGGAGGAGGGGCCCAGGAAGGGUUAGGUCCGCAGCCAGUGCGGAGAAAGGGCCCUGGGCUCGGCUCCCACGCUCGGGCAGGCCUCCCGCCGGGGGAUCGGAGCUGCGGUCACUCGCGGCUUCGGGGCCGUGGCGUCCCGCGCACAGCUUCCGCGCCUCUGCAAGGCGCUCUGAAGAAAUGGAGGUGAACAGAGGAACAGCCACUCCCAGCAAGCAAGGGAAGAAGAAUCUUGAAAGCCUGUGACUUCACAGAGACUUCUUGAUUGAUGCCCCUGAAAUCAGCCUGCCAAGUGUGGCCUCUGCAGCAUAAAUACAAGGAGUCUGAUGACACAAGACGGCGUCUGAUGAUAGUUCUGUCACCCUCAGCCAUAUUAUAAUUCCAUGUCCUCGUAGUCACCCUGCCAUAAUCCCACCAUUUCCUGCAAACACAGCUUCUCCUGCCUGAUGAAGUCUUACCUAUCCUUUAAGACCUAGCUCCGACCGGGUGCAGUGGCUCAUGCCUGUAAUCCCUGCACUUUGGGAGGCCGAGGCAAGUGAAUCACUUGAGCCCAAGGAGUUCUGAGACCAGCAUAGGCAAUAUGGCAAAACCCCAGCUCUACAAAAAAAAAAAAAAAAAAAAUUAGUUGGGCAUGGUGGUGCACGCCUGUAGUCCCAACUACUUG